rnacentral:rRNA from 1 species
CUUGAAACACGGACCAAGGAGUUUAUUGUGUACGCAAGUCAUUGGGUAAUUAAAACCCAAAGGCGUAAUAAAAGUAAAUAGUAAUUUAAAAAAAGUAAUUUUUUUAAAUUCUUAAAGGAAGAAAGUUUUUUUUUAUUUUUUUUCUUCAAGAAUUAAAAAAAAAAAAAUCUUGCAUUCCUAGGGCGCUUGUCUCUCGCAUUGCGAGUAUAUGCGCACCUAUAGCGUACACGAUGAUACCCGAAAGAUGGUGAACUAUGCCUGGCCAGGACGAAGCCAGGGGAAACCCUGGUGGAGGUCCGCAGCGAUUCUGACGUGCAAAUCGAUCGUCAGAGCUGGGUAUAGGGGCGAAAGACCAAUCGAACCAUCUAGUAGCUGGUUCCCUCUGAAGUUUCCCUCAGGAUAGCUUGCGCUCAUUGAAGCGAGUCUCAUCCGGUAGAGCGAAUGAUUAGAGGCAUUGGGGUCGAAACGACCUCAACCUAUUCUCAAACUCCAAAUAGAUGAGAACCUCGGCUUUCUUAAAAUUGAAGCCGUAGGAUUUGGAUCAGAGUGCAAAGUGGGCCAAUUUUGGUAAGCAGAACUGGCGCU